rnacentral:rRNA from 1 species
UACGGAGGGUGCAAGCGUUAUCCGGAUUCACUGGGUUUAAAGGGUGCGUAGGUGGGUUGGUAAGUCAGUGGUGAAAUCCCCGAGCUUAACUUGGGAACUGCCAUUGAUACUAUCAGUCUUGAAUACCGUGGAGGUCAGCGGAAUAUGUCAUGUAGCGGUGAAAUGCUUAGAUAUGACAUAGAACACCAAUUGCGAAGGCAGCUGGCUAACACGGAUAUUG